rnacentral:lncRNA from 1 species
GAGGCCAUGGUAGCAUAGAGAAGGCUUUUCGAGAGGGAACGUAGUGAUCGAGGAAAGGCAAGAUUUAAAUCUAAGGAUAAGAAGAAGGUGAAAUGCUAGAAUUGUGAAAAAUCAGGGUAUGUAAAGAAAGAUUACCAGCUAGAGGAGUUAAUACAAAAUCUGAAUCAAAAAAAUUUUCAAAGCAAUAUAGCAGAAGGUGAAGCUGGUUUGGCUACUUCAAAAGACAGGGAUGCA